ACAGCAGCGCAGGAAAAACUGCCAUAGAGCAAAAAGAUCGAUCUUCGGAGAUUGAGAUAAUCGCUAUGAACAAAACGGAGUCGUUUUAAAAACAUUUUAUUGUAAAAAUAGACAUUUUUAACCAGACGUGUGGCUUUAUAAUGCAUGCAAGUAGACAAGCUUCAAGUGGAAAUGUAGCCUACUUACAGAUUAAGGGAGGUGUUUGAACCGUGACAUCUACAGUAGCCAACAGAAACAGAGUGCUGGGACAUGUGGUCAGACAUUGACUGUAAUGAUGGACAUCUGCUGAUGCACAGACAGAAGUAUAACCCCUGCUGGACAUUGUGCUGGAACUCGGGGAGGACACCAUGAUCGCCCACACCUUCUCACUCACACCAGACCAUUCACUCAUAUCACGGAGAUCUGGCUGGACUUGAACCAGCAACCUCUGAAACCAUGAGGCAGCGCUCUUACCUCUGAGCCACAGAUCUCAUGUAUGAACAUGUGCAGGAACUUAUAUUUCACUAUUCAGCUGUAUCAGACUUGGGAUUUUACAAUAAAUGAAUUAAAGUUACA